CCUACGGGCGGCAGCAGUGAGGAAUCUUGGUCAAUGGGCGAGAGCCUGAACCGGCCAAGUCGCGUGAGGGAGUACUGCCCUAUGGGUUGUAAACCUCUUUUGUCGGGGAGCAAAAGCCGGACGUGUCCGGCUGUGAGAGUACCCGAAGAAAAAGCAUCGGCUAACUCCGGGCCAGCAGCCGCGGUAAUACGGAGGAUGCGGGCGUGAUCGGGAUUUAUUGGGUUUAAGGGGUGCGCAGGCGGAUUUUUAAGUCAGCGGGAAAAUCGUGGGGCUCAACCCCAUCCAGCCGUUGAAACUGGGGAUCUAGAGUGUGCGAGAGGUAUGCGGAAUGCGUGGUGUAGCGGUGAAAUGCGUAGAUAUCACGCAGAACCCCGAUUGCGAAGGCAGCAUACCGGUGCACAACUGACGCUCAGGCACGAAAGCGUGGGUAUCGAACAGGAUUAGAUACCCGGGUAGUC
rnacentral:rRNA from 1 species